UUUAUUACUGUGAUGAGAAGAGUAGCUAUUGGACGUAGUCUUAGCGAGUAAGGAACGGUGUAAGCCUUAUACGAAGCCUUUAGUGAAGAACAUCUCUGAGUUUCUAACCGAAAUCUAUUUAUUGAGAGUAGGCUUAGACGGAUUCAAACCGUUAUUAAUUGGAUGACAUUAUUUGUGUCAGAUAAGUGGUCAUAUCUUAUGACAAUUUGGGUGGUACCGCGAAAGUAUCCUUUCGUCCCUUUU
rnacentral:ncRNA from 1 species